CCGAGGUCACGGACAAAGUCUCCGACCAAAUAUUCUGGUGCAACUCACUUAAAUCAAUACUGAAGUGUAUGACAGGAUAUAGUCAAACCUGUAACCAAACAGCUACUGUGACCCAAACUCUAACCAAUUUGCUCAACCAGGUUAAAGUUCACUGUCCAGAUGAAGGUGGUUUUGAAGAAACAACAACGGUUGUUAUCACUGAAGGAAACAAUACGGCCAUUUCAGUGGAGUCCAGUUUAAUGUUAGUACUGGUGGUAUCAUAUGUUAUCAGCUUUCAUUAAAAUAACAAGAACAACCUGACCAACACCCCAAUUUAUUACGUUUUAUAAUAUCUCAUUUGAACUCACUAGUCUCGGCAUCGAAUUGUCAGCAGAAG